CCUACGGGGGGCAGCAGUGAGGAAUAUUGGUCAAUGGCCGAGAGGCUGAACCAGCCAAGUCGCGUGAGGGAAGACGGCCCUACGGGUUGUAAACCUCUUGUCGGGGAGCAAAGCGAGUCACGUGUGACUCAUUGAGAGUACCCGAAGAAAAAGCAUCGGCUAACUCCGUGCCAGCAGCCGCGGUAAUACGGAGGACGCGAGCGUUAUCCGGAUUUAUUGGGUUUAAAGGGUGCGCAGGCGGAGGUGCAAGUCAGCGGUCAAAUUGCGGGGCUCAACCCCGUACUGCCGUUGAAACUGCAUCCCUU
rnacentral:rRNA from 1 species